AGUAAUAAUAAUAACUUGGGCCAGUAAAAAAAUGUUCAACGAUAAAGAUUUUCAAUAAUGAAUAGGCUACAAAUUUCCCAUUGUGAACAACCCUGUUUGCAUAUGGAGUUGUCUGUACCUAUUUUUCGAGUCUGUACCUAUUUUUCAAGUUGUCUGUACCUAUUUUUAGUACCUAUAUUUGCUUCACUUCAGAAGGUCUUUAUAACCCCCUGGAGUCGUGUGGAUAUCUUUUAUGAUGGAUUGAUGUACUUUUUUGGACUUCAAAAUCAAAAGUGUCAUUUACUAUAAAGCUUGGAAGAGCCAGGAUUUUUUUUUUUUUUUUUUUUUUUUUUAAAUAACUCAGAUUGUGUUCGUCUGAAAGAAGAUACGCCAUGGUAUAGGGGUAAGUAGCUAAAUCAUGGGAUAAUUUUCUAUAUCUGAAACAGGGAUUUUCCUAUAUCUGAGACAGGGAUUUUGUAACCAAUGUUAGAACCAGAACAGGAGAGUGCAGACAUCAUGAGUCAUGAAUGGCACAGCAAGGAUGAUAAUAAUCAAGAGGCUGAACACUACAGUGUGAAAACAAACAAGGGAGAAGUUCCUCCUCUCUCCCUUAUCCACCAGCUUGAAUGGACGUAAUUUGGCUCUGCGGUGAGCACCACUUGAUAAUCGACUUGUGAUAUUUUCUGCGUGUGCGUCUGUGUGAGAAGAGGGCGGGGAUGUGCGAAAACAGUCGUGUGCACGCCCAUCAAUCUUCAUUCAUAGUAGCAUGCUUAGCACUCGGAGGAGUAGGUUUGAAGUUGCCAUCCGUCUGACAGCAAUUAUGAGAAGCGUGAUUUCUUUACUGAUGUUAACAAACAUACUAUGUGCGGGAUUUCUUCUGGCUUCCCGAGAACUGAACGAAUGUCUCAGAACUCAUGAAGUGCAAUGUGAGGACAUGGUUACCUCCAAGGGAUUUACAUACCGGGUGCCUCAGGACAUGGCAGUUUACCUGAGAGAUAGCCAUUGCGAACAUGGAUGGUCUCAUGCGAAUGGAACGUUUAUUGCUGACUCAACAAUCGAUGGGAAGAAGUCAGGACCUUUUGUGGACGUGACUCCUGAGAACCUGACAUUGUGCACCUGUGCAAACCUUCAAUGGCAAAUUCACUGUGACAACAUUAAGUUUUACUGUACUAUCAAUUAUGCAGUAAAACUUCAAGCUACACAUGACUCCCUGCCAGGAAAUUACACAUUUUCAAAAGACAAAGAAGCAAAUUCUCCCAGCUGGCUAACUGCUGUAAUUGUGGCGAGUGUCAUUGUAUCUGUUACCAUCCUGUCUGUUACCAUUUGUUUUUUUUGGAAAAAAUGUCUAAGAAAGUCUGUGUACGCUCCUCCAGGUGAAGGUGGAUCCGAGACGGGAUUGUGAAAUAUAAAAGUCCAAGUCGCAGUCAUAUAGGUCAUCCAUAGUUAGUUCUGUAAAAAACUCUAUAUGGCAUUAUUUGUUUGCAGAUGGUAGCUGGAUCCACUAUAUAUUAAGUGUCUUUAACUACUAUGUAAUAACAUUUAAAUCAUUUGAUACAGUGCACUUAUUGCGUAAAUCCAUGUUUUUACGUUGUACUUACAUUUAAACAUUUCCUGCAUGUAAUUACCAGUUCCCAACCUUACUUGUAUCCCACCCUGAUAGCAGCAAAAGUUUUUUGCAAUAAAACAUGAACAAAAUAGGUACAUUGUACCUAACAAUUUUUUUUCGUCUUAAGUACAUUAAUUUAAGGACACCUAAUAUAAAGUGGGAUCAAUAAAUUGUUAUACAUUAGAGAUCUUUAAACUGCAUGCCAUAACUCAUGACUGGCAACUGUGCACCUGUGACCAAAGGCUGAUGUAAACACUACCAAUGCUGCCACUGUACCUGCAACAGUGACCCCAUCUAAUAUUGAUAGUAAUUAACUUAUUGUACAAAGAACUCUCCUCAUUUACAGUAAUAGUAGCAACUAAUAUUUUUUAAAAACCUCUUUCAUACAGGCACUUGAAUAUUUCUUUUUUUGUUAUAAGAUCAUAUACUUUUUAAAUAAAAACAUUUAAAUGGCUACUUGAGUCUAGUUCAUGA